UCAGACAUGGUGUAGCUUGGUAACACCGCUUCGAGUUCUAGGAUGUAUGGUUUUGCACUUGAAGAAGCAGUCUGGGGUUCGAAUCCCUGUGUCUGAA